rnacentral:rRNA from 1 species
UACGUAGGGUGCAAGCGUUGUCCGGAAUUAUUGGGCGUAAAGAGCUCGUAGGCGGUCUGUCGCGUCGGCUGUGAAAACUCGGGGCUCAACCCCGAGCCUGCAGUCGAUACGGGCAGACUAGAGUGCGGUAGGGGAGACUGGAAUUCCCGGUGUAGCGGUGAAAUGCGCAGAUAUCAGGAGGAACACCAAUGGCGAAGGCAGCUCGCUGGGACGGUACUGACGCUGAGACGCGAAAGCGUGGGGAGCAAACAGG